rnacentral:rRNA from 1 species
GUGUCAGCAGCCGCGGUAAGACGUAGGGGGCGAGCGUUAUCCGGAUUCACUGGGCGUAAAGGGCGCGCAGGCGGCUAUGUAAGUCCGGCGUGAAAUCCCACGGCUCAACUGUGGAAUUGCGUCGGAUACUGCAUUGGCUUGAGGACGGUAGAGGCUUCUGGAACUAGCGGUGUAGCGGUGAAAUGCGCAGAUAUCGCUAGGAACGCCGGUGGCGAAGGCGGGAGGCUGGGCCGAUCCUGACGCUGAGGCGCGAAAGCUAGGGGAGCGAACCGGAUUAGAUACCCUCGUAGUCC